rnacentral:rRNA from 1 species
AGAGUUUGAUCAUGGCUCAGAUUGAACGCUGGCGGCAUGCUUUACACAUGCAAGUCGAGCGGCAGCGCGGGACUCAGGCAACUGAGCCCUGGCGGCGAGCGGCGAACGGGUGAGUAAUACAUCGGAACGUGUCCCGUAGUGGGGGAUAGCUCGGCGAAAGCCGGAUUAAUACCGCAUAUGCUCUACGGAGGAAAGCGGGGGAUCUUUCAGGCAACUGAGGGACCUUGCGCUAUGGGAGCGGCCGAUGUCCGAUUAGCUUGUUGGUGGGGUAACGGCUUACCAAGGCGACGAUCGGUAGCUGGUCUGAGAGGAUGAUCAGCCACACUGGGACUGAGACACGGCCCAGACUCCUACGGGAGGCAGCAGUGGGGAAUUUUGGACAAUGGGGGAAACCCUGAUCCAGCCAUGCCGCGUGAGUGAAGAAGGCCUUCGGGUUGUAAAGCUCUUUUGGUCGGAAAGAAAAGGCUACGGAUAACACCUGUGGUCCUUGACGGUACCGGCAGAAUAAGCACCGGCUAACUACGUGCCAGCAGCCGCGGUAAUACGUAGGGUGCGAGCGUUAAUCGGAAUUACUGGGCGUAAAGAGUGCGUAGGCGGUUCCGCAAGUCCGCUGUGAAAGCCCCGGGCUUAACCUGGGAAUGGCAGUGGAAACUAUGGGACUUGAAUCUGGCAGAGGGGGGUGGAAUGCCACGUGUAGCAGUGAAAUGCGUAGAGAUGUGGCGGAACACCGAUGGCGAAGGCAGCCCCCUGGGCUGAGAUUGACGCUCAGGCACGAAAGCGUGGGGGAGCAAACAGGAUUAGAUACCCUGGUAGUCCACGCCCUAAACGAUGACAACUAGGUGUUGGGGAAGCGAUUUCUCAGUACCGCAGCUAACGCGUGAAGUUGUCCGCCUGGGGAGUACGGUCGCAAGAUUAAAACUCAAAAGGAAUUGACGG